UUUCAAAAAUACUUGCCAGUACUCCAAAUUCUAUUAAUAAUAUUCCGUCUAUAUUUUACAGUUCUUAGAACAUCUAUCUUAUCAAUGGUUGAAAAUUGAUGGAAAAACCCGUCCUCACUACUACUAUCCUGGUAGCUAGUGUUUCAAAGGACAGAGCUUUAAGAAACAUAACAAAAGUGUUUACCUAAAAAUGAAAAAUUCCGGAACUUCUGAAUUAAAAAGACAUUUUAAAGCACAGCAUGGGAUGUUACCUCACAUAGAGCCUGAUCGAAGCAAGGUUCAAUUUUCUCCACCUGAUUCAGAACACUUCCACUUAACGGCAAGUACUAGUAUUUUAGAUUUGAUAGGCAGAAGUCAUAAAGAAAAUGUAAGUUAAGAUUAAUUAUUAUAGCUUGUAUAAUACUCACAUUUUUUAAUUAGAGACAGAUAGUGGGCGGAAGGGGAGACUUAGCGGAGGGGUGCUUAAAAGUCGCGAUGGCAUACGUUAAAAAGAAAAUAUACACCUAUAUAUGAGAAAAUAAGAGUCCUGUAAUGAGCUGCCUGAAAGCAAGUGGUUCAAAAAUUUUGUUGACUAUUGAUGGAUGGUCAUCUAUUGAUUUUGUGCCUGCUGAGGGAAACCAUAAAGCUACAUCUAUUGCCAACAUUCUCUUUGAAAUGCUGAAUUGAAGUGAGAUAACUGUUAAGGCGGCUGUUAAUUUUACAGUGAUGCAUUCUUUGGAAACUGUAGUUUCCAGUUUUGA
rnacentral:lncRNA from 1 species